rnacentral:lncRNA from 1 species
AUAAGGUGAAAGAACAUAUACAGAGAGACAUGGAUGGCAUGGGCCUUGGAAACUGCAUGCAAAAUGCGGAAGACGAUGUCCCUACAGCAAGCAGGUCAAUCUCCCACGAUUCAGAUGUCGUAGCACAGAACACCAUGAGAUUAGACGCACCUACGACUAGUACAAUGAGAUCAGAUGCACCCGCUUUUCGCCCGACAUUCAGUGCACCACCAUCUGAACAGUACUUAUCAACAAAGCAGGCUCCUACACGCAGGCAAGACCCCUCUCCAACGAGCGAGCCAGACAUCGCAGACUACUAUGAUCCGGAAAUGUUUCAAACCAGACGCAUGACUCGAUCAAUGUCUAUGUACUACCACCCGAAGAUUUACCCUCGGGAAUACCCUUGAGUCCCUUUCAUUAGUUUUUGUUCGUGUCUUG